GGCAGAACAGGCACCCCAGGGUUCAGGUCCACGUUAGAACAUCUGGGCCCAUCUCAGAUCAACUGAAUUAGAAUGUCUAGGGGUGAAACCUGGGCAUCAACAAUUAUUUAAAAAAGUAAGUCUGAUGUGUGGCCAUGUUGAAAACCUCUACCUGAGAGAGUUUCUGUUUUGCGUUGUUUUUACCUUAAUCAGAGGAAAAAUUAUAGUUGGAGACCAAGAGGCUAGAGCUAUGAUCAUCACAAAACGUAAACUCCAAGGUUUUUAACGAUAAAAUGUGAACACUUGUGUCUGAGCUAAGCAGCAGUUCUAACCACUGUAACCAUGUGCUAAGAAUCCGGCCAGGUGGGACACUGCGGAACGUGGUAGCAGAUCAACUGGCAACAGGGCUUCAAGGAAAUCUUAAUGAUAUUGGACAUUUCGUUUUUCCUGGUGUACAAGACAGAGUCAAAAGAUGAAAGUGGUGUUUCUGAUCACUUUCCUUUUGGUCACAGCUCACUGCGCACCAGUCCAAGAAUUUCAUCCUGCAAUUCUCUAUCAUCAGUUCUUGCACUGGAAGCAACUUCAGAGGUUAUAUAAACUCUUGAAUAACUGUAGGAAACCACCAAUGAACAGAAGAACUACCAUGGUCCCCACGCCACCAUUUCCACCAAUAACAGAAAUUGCUCCUCCUUUGACUUCUAACCCACCAGUCCCUCCUACCCCCGACCAGCGGGGAGAUUCACUAUUCACGAAGUUCUGAAGGAACUCAUUAGCCCAAUGCAGCUUCUCCCUCCAGGAAUUCUUUAGUACCACAGCUGAAGAUCAAAGACAUUAUCUGGCUGCUCCCUGUACCACAGUGUGCCCUUUUCAAUAUCCUGGAUAAAAUGACAAUGAUUCAUUAAAAAUGUUUAUAUCACUAUAUUAUGCCCAAGUGGAAUAUCAUUUCCCAUCAUUACCAGCAUUGUAAAAGAAGGAUGAGGAAAAUGAUCAAAGGAAU
rnacentral:lncRNA from 1 species